rnacentral:lncRNA from 1 species
AUCUGUCUUAGAGCUAUUGGAAUCCUGGAUCACUGUGGGAAAUGAAAGGAACUGGUUUUUAGCAAGGAGACCAAGAAACUCUACUCCCUAGGGGCUAGCAAUGAGAGAAAGGAAGCCUUGAGUCUUUGAGCACAGGGUGACAGUUUGGGUCCUAUGUGAGAUGAUCAAAUCCACAGCAACAGAGGAAAGGACAAAAGGAAAAGAUACUUCGAUGGAAUCAGCAGCCAUUGAUCCAAUGCCAACUCCAAGACUGGAACGUCGCAAUGAUAGUUCCAAGGCGGAAAUUUGACGUAAUUCUUUUCGACACAGUUUUACAGGUCUGGAUGCCCAUUUUAAUUCUUCUGAAAGCAUGCCUCCUCCUUCUGGCUUCAGGACUCCAUCUCCAGCCUUAUGAUCUAAAAAUAAUCCCCAAACCAAAAAAUUAGAUAUUAUUUCCUCAAAAUUAGGUGUUUUAAUCAAAACAUCUUAACAUAAAUACAUUAUUAUCACCCAAUA